rnacentral:rRNA from 1 species
GAUGAACGCUAGCGGAAGGCCUAAUACAUGCAAGUCGAACGGGCAUAUUGAUUUCGGUUAAUAUGUUAGUGGCGCACGGGUGAGUAACGCGUACACAACCUACCUUAUAUUGGGGGAUAGCCCUGGGAAACUGGGAGUAAUACCGCAUAACAUUAUAGAGAGGCAUCUUUUUAUAAUUAAAGCAUUUGCGAUAUAAGAUGGGUGUGCGUCUGAUUAGGUAGUUGGUAGGGUAACGGCCUACCAAGCCGACGAUCAGUAGGGGGUGUGAGAGCAUGGCCCCCCACACGGGUACGUGAGACACGGACCCGACUCCUACGGGAGGCAGCAGUAAGGAAUAUUGGUCAAU